UACGAAGGGGGCUAGCGUUGUUCGGAAUCACUGGGCGUAAAGCGUACGUAGGCGGAUCGUUAAGUCAGGGGUGAAAGCCUGGAGCUCAACUCCAGAACUGCCUUUGAUACUGGCGAUCUUGAGACCGGGAGAGGUGAGUGGAACUGCUAGUGUAGAGGUGAAAUGCGUAGAUAUUGGGAAGAACACCUGAGGCGAAGGCGGGUUGCUGGGCUGAUACUGACGCUGAGGCGCGAAAGCCAGGGGAGCAAACGGG
rnacentral:rRNA from 1 species